AAAAAUUUUUAAUUUUAAUAAAGUCUGAUUUAUUUUUUCUUUGGUUGCUUGUGCUUUGAGUGUCUUAUCUGAGAAACCAUUAACUAAUCCAAGAGCAUGAAGAUUUACAUCUGUGUUUAAUAUUUAAGAGUUUUAUGGACUUAGCUCUUACAUUUUGGUCUUUGAUCCAUUUUGAAUUAUUUUUUGUACAUGCUGUGAGGUGGAGGUUCCACUUUGUUCUUUUGCAUGCGGAUAUCCAGUUGUUCCAUUUAUUGAAAAGACUAUUUUUUUCUCUCCACUAAAUGGUCCUGGUACCCUUGUCAGUUGAGUAGAUGUAUGGGUUUUUUUCUAGACUCUCAGUUAUAUUCCAUUGACCUGUAUGCCUAUUGUUAUAUGAGUACCAGCCUGUUUUGAUUACUUUGUAAUAAAUUUCAAAAUCCUUCUACAUAAUUCUUUAAACGUUUUAUUUUAAGAUAAUUAUAGAUUCACAUAGGAUUAUAAGAAAUAGUAGAGAGAUAUUCUAUCCUGUUUCUUUUAAUGGUAACAACUUGCAUAACAGUAGUACAAGAGCACAACCAGAAAAUUGACAUUGAUACAGUUUUAUUAACCUUAUUCAGAUUUCACCAGUUUUACAUGCACUAAUUUGUGUACAUGUAUUUAUGCCAUAGAAUUUUAUUCUGAGUGUUUCUAUAUUGAAGAUAGUUGAGUAUGUUACCAUAUUUCUUUAAAACGAGGAUUUGUGUAUAAAUAAUUUUUUUUCAAUUUCAUGUUACCAUGAGACCUUAUGUUACCAUGAGACCUUUUUCUGAAUUAACUAAUCAUUAUGAUUAUUUUUAGUGCGCAGAUGAGCAAACCAUAUAAAUGUAAUGGACAUUUUUAGAAAUAAUAAUUAAACAUAAUAGGUAGAUUUUUAUUGGAAGAGCAUCUCUUAUUGAGAUGAAUAGUACUUCUAAAAAAAUCUGUGGGUAAUAUAACUUGCUGCUAGAAUGAGACAGAACUCAGUGUAAAUCUUAUUCCUCUUUUCUUCCUUUGGUAAAUGUAAAACUGACGAACCUUGUCUGUGCAGUCAUUGUAAACACUUGACAAGGGCAGUAACACGGUGACCUCGGUGCUCUAGGAAUGCUGUUCUGGCUGUGGGCUGCUUAGUAGACUUUGUGGGCAGGUCCCCGAAGCUGUGAAGAUCGCCAGCGGCUUUGGCUGUUAAGACUACUAUGAAUUAUUUUGGUCUUGGGGUAGAGUAUAGCAGGGGGAAUGGAGAUGAAAGGAUGAGUCUGAGGAAGCCUUUGAUGGCAAUUGUAUCAUAAAUUGGUCAUACAUUUGAGGAAGGGGUUAAAAUAGAGGAAGAAGCUAACAAAUGUCACACCCACAUCUUGAGCCUAGGAGAAUGGGGCUAUUUUCUCAUUUCAGGUGGACUUAGUUGGAUGGGAAGAGAUACUCCUCCCACAAGAUUAGUGUAAUAUUUCAAAUUAAUAGGUAAGAAUGUAUCUAGAAACCUGUAAGAGGUGAGGGGGCCACACAAAGCAGAGCCGAAUAUAGCUUGUGUCAGAGCCAUAUUUUUUGGCUCCUGGUUUCUUUGCAGGGUUGAGUUUUGUUGAUUCUGGAACUCCCAGUUUUUGCUGUUGCACUGCCCUGUUACGCUCUGAGUUUUAAUUUUAUUAUUUAGAAAAACAUAAUACAAAUUAUCUUCUGAUGGAUGUUUAAGGAAAUGAUUUACAUAAGCUAUUGGACUCCUGGUUCUUGAGCCAAACUAGGCAUCCACAAGACACCUCCUCAUCUGGGGGUAUAGAGUCAGAUCACUGUCUAGAUGUCUUUGAACAAAGGCUCGGCCUCUAGUUUUUUUAGCUUCUGAAAUGUUCUUCUCUCCAGAAUGUCAUGGAUACAUAUAUGAGUUUAUCUUGGACUCUCUUUGUAGUAAACUGCUGGUAGUAAGAGCUUGAAAAUUUUUGUUGUUAUGAAUUUUGCUGGAAUUGAUAUUUUUAUUCAUUAGUCAGCAAAUGUUGCAUGAACAUCCAUGAUGUUUUAGGCACUGGAGAAAAAAAAAAGGUGAAUGAGAUAUAUCCUUGAGAAAAUCAUGGUUGUCUAGUAGGUAGAGAUGUUUCUCUGUAUCAGUAAGAGACCACGUGAUAAGUCUGAACACAGAGAAGGCAUAAUUCAACUCAGCAUCAAAAACGUUGGGCACGGUUUCCAGAGUUCCAAGGGACAUUGAACUGAGAUCUGAAAGGGUGGUUAGGAUUUACUAGGUGGGGAAGCAACAGGGAGGGAAGAUAGAGAUAGGAUGUGCUAAGGCCUGGGGACUUAAGGACAGGUAAGUUGAGGGAAGAGAGUGACAUUCAGUAUUGCUGCACUUUAGGCUGCUCAGUCUGGGGAGCAGUAGCUAGAGAUGGAGCAGGAGAGGUAAGGUGGGGUUGGAUUGUGAUGGGCCUUAUGUCCAUCAAGGCAGACAGAGGUUUCCAGGCAGGUUUGACAUGAUCAGACCGGCCUUUGAGGAAGAUGACAGAUUGCUCUGUAGAGAACUGGUCAGAUCAGGGAGCUAGGCUGAGCUGUUGCAGAGACCAAACUUGGAUGAGGAGAAUUUGAACCAAGGCAUUGGCAUGGACAGUGGGAAUAGAGAAUGGACAAAAAGGUUUUGUAGGUGAAUGAAUGGGGUGAGGUAAAGGAACAAUUGAUGAGUUGAAAGAGGGUGCAUGAUGACAAAAUGUUGGAAAAAAUCAGUAAAAGAAGGGGAUUUAAUUUUUUGACAUAAGAAAUAUUCGUCUCAAAUAUGGGUCUUGCUUUGUGCUGGAAAUGUAGUUUGGGUGGUUACCACCAUAUAGAUGGUAGGUAGGUGAAGCCAUGAAUACAGAUGUGAUUCAGGGGGAUCAUGGAGGACUGGAUCCAGGACAGCUCCUAGGACAGAGCCCAGGAUGUGAACAAAGGAAUUGUCCCUUGAUUUUAUUGAGUCUUUCAAGGUCGAUGAUUUAUUAUUUUUAAAAAAUAUGAGGGAGCCAUAUUAUUUCAUGGUAGUUUUAGUUAUCAUUGUGGAUGAGUAUGGUAAGGUAUCCUAAACAUUUAGGCAUAUAGCACUCAUUUGUAAUGUUACAUGAUUUAUUAUAGUUGUAGAUUUACUAUUUUUUUUUUAAUAAUUGGGACAAAUGCUUAAUCUGUUACAUUUUAGGGCCAUUAGUAUGAAUGAAUUUUCUUGAUGAACUUUUUUCAUUGUAUUUUGAUUUUAAGGAAUUAUGUAAAACAUUUUUACUAAAGGUGAAGCUUUGGAAUGUGGAAAUAUUUUCAGUAUUUCAGUGCCAAAAAUUCAGCUACUUUAACACCUAGAAAUUCCAAUAUUGUGUAUGGAAGAUUUGCUCUUAAUUUGUAGUAUGUAUUAGAAUCAUUUGUGGAGCUUUUAAAGACACCAGUGCAAUGCUAGAUCCCAGCUGAGAGAGGUUUAUGUCGGGGCCCUACCAUUUGUGUUUUUUUUCGUGAUUUGGUGUAUAUUCUAGGUGAGAACUCUGUAUCGGGUUUGAUUAGGAGCUUUGUUAGUAUGUUUUGCUUCUUGCUUAUAUGGUUAGCUUCUUUGCUUAAAGCUAUGACAGUAGACAGUAGACAGUAGCGCCUGUGGCUGAGUCCAUUAAGAGUCUGACUCUUGGUUUCAGCUCAGGUCAUGAUCUCACGGUUUUGUGGGUUCGAGCCCCGCAUCCGGCUCUGUGCUGGCAGGCAGUGUGGAGCUUGCUUGGUAUUCUCUCUCUCUCCCCCCCUCUCUUUGCUUGGUAUUCUCUCUCUCUCCCUCUCUCUGCCCCUCCUGCACUCAUGCUGUGUCUUUCUCAAAAUAAAUAAAUAAACUUUACAAUAACAAAAAAAAAAAGCUGUGACAGCAAAGGCCAGGAUGGCAGCAAGUUAGUUGAUCUGGCUAUCUGAGCAUUUGAUUUUUUAGUGAAUUUAAAUUAUAAAGCAAAAUUGAAUGGCAGUUUAGUCUGGGCUCAGAGCAUUAGAGGACUGUUUAGGUAAAAUACAGCAUAUCCACACAAUGGAAUACUGUAAAGGGAGUGGCUAUAAAAAGGAACAAGGACUAUGUCUCUAUGUAUGCUAUGUGGUCAUUUUGAGAAUAUAUUGUUAAAUGAUAAAAGCAAGGGGCAGGACAGUGGUAUUGUGGGUUAUGAUUUUUCAAAUAAAGGGGCCUAUAAAUAUGUAAAUAUGUAUUGUUGUGCAUACACACAGACCUACCAAAGGAAUAGUAAACCAGAAACUAAUAAUAAUGGUUACUUUAAGGAGAGGGAGGGGAUUGGGUGCAAGAAACAGCUAUGGAACCUAGACUUAGAAUAUACUUUGUUUUGUGGAUUAGGCUUUAGAAUCACGUAAAUGCCUUACCAUAUUAUAAAACAAAAAUAAAACGAGAGGAAAAAAAUUCCAAAAAAUGAAACACAAAAUGAAAUAAGUGAGCCUAAAUGUAUAUCAGGUUUGAAGCAUACAGAGUAUUUCAAGUGACUCUGAAACAGAGUAAUGUGACUGUAAAUUUCUGCUGGGAUAUACCCCUAAGGACAAAGAGCUGCAAAGAUAUAAACUGAUUUUAAUAAUCAGAUACUUGGGAAUAAUAUUGGUAGUGUUAUUCUGGAGGUUCUGUGUUGUAAGAUUGUAAGCAAGUAGAUAGUUACAUUGGAUUGAGGCCAUAGAUUUUGAUGUGGAAAAGAGAUACAAUCAGAGAUUGGGUAAGAAUCCAGGAAUCUUAAAUUUGAUCAGAAGUGUCAGUAUGAACUCAUGAUAUAUUUUCUUUUCUUUUUCUUUUCUUUUCUUUACUUUUUGAAGUAGGUUUUAUGCCCAGCGUGGGGCUUGAACUCACAAUGCUGAGACUGAGUCGCAUGUUCUACCAACAGAAUCAGUCAGGCGCCCCUGUAUUUUCUUUUUUAAAAAUGUAUUUCCUAGUUCUCUCUACUAAAAAUCUGAGAAACCCACUUGGACAGCAUUAAGCACUUCUAGUUCCAGACUCUAUUCUCUAAAUAAUAAUUCCCACUAAAAGGAACCUAGGGUACCUUGGAAAAAGGAAGCCGGGAAAUCUAUAAAAUGAGCCCAGAACGUCUUUUCAUAUCACAAAACAAGCUAUGGGAAGAUUUCUGUUUGUAUCGAUGGUAGGAUAGCUUUUUCUAAGCUGACACUCCCAACUGAGAACAACUAAAAAAAAAAAAAAGGAAAAUAAUUCAAAAAAUCUGUUUAAGACUUUAGAAAGUGAGCAAGUCAGACAGCAAGGACUUGAAAUAUUCAUAUUUUAGAGAAGGAAAACUCAGAGGGGUGAGGGCAGCUUUCGGUAUAGCUUUUCCCUUAGAGUGAUUGGCUGAUUUGAAUUGUACAUCUAAGAGUUUGAACAAAGGGGUAGCAGAGAGGCUGAGAUUUUAAGUAGAGUUUUUGGUAGUUAUGCAGAGUUAGGGGACAAAAUUGGAGUUCAGGGCCUGCAGAGAAGGAAGAGCAUUGGAAAACACCCCAGGCUUUUAGUUGGGAACUCUGAAGGAUAGGCUAUACCUUAAGGAUUAGCUCUCACAAAGGCUGAAGCCCAGCUUUCAAAUCACCUCAGUCCUUGAUUGGAUUAAGGAAACCUGCUCCUAGCCUUAUUGCUUGCUAGAAGUAAAUGGUAAAUUUUCUCUGGAGAAAGACACCAUCAAUCAUUGAUUCAGUUGUCUGUAUAGUUUUUGUAUAUUUACUGAUAACAUGUAAUAUAUAUUUACGUAUAGCUAUAUAUAUUUUAUGUUAUAUCUACAACAUAUUUAUAAAACUUAGUCUGGCAUUAAAUUAAGAAAUAACCAGAUAUAUAUAAGAAUAAAAGAAUUGACUAAAAAAUCCAGAGAGAAAACACAAUUGAAGCAGACUCAUAGGAGAUUUCUAGUACAGGUGAGAUAGUACAGACCCGUUUUCUCUGCUAAGUCUAUACAUCCUAGAAUUGGUACAGAAGACAACAAAAGGAGAACUCUCAAAGGUUGUAAGAAGAAGAGGUGAGCUGGUUUGGAACCACUGGACUAGAAGAACAAUAUAGCCCUAGGGCUAUAUAUUAUAGUCCCCCUAGCCAACAGAAAAAGGCCUCCCAGACCUUAGGCUUCCUGACUUUCUGACCUGCAAUAGAAUGUAGUCCAGGUAGGCUCAUUCCUUCCAUGAAUCUAAUGCAAGUCCCCAUAGGGGCCCCUGUGUGGCUCAGUUGGUUAAGCAUCCGACUUCGAUUCAGGUCAUGAUGUGGUUCGUGAGUUCGAGCCCCGCAUCAGGCUCUGUGCUCAUAGCUCAGAGCCUGGGGCCUGCUUCAGAUUCUGUGUCUCCCUUGCUCUCUGCCCCUCACCCACUCAUGCUCUGUCUCUCUCCAAAAUAAAUAUUAAAAAAUAAUUUAAUGAAAAUCCCUUUGAAAACAUCAGGCAAGCUUAAUGUCAUAGCCAAGGGGAAUCAAUUAGGAAUCCACUGAAUAUAAGUGUGGAGACAAAGCAGUCUUUUUCCCACUGAUCUUAAGACUUCCCUUUUCCACUGAGAGAUAUCAAGGCAGGUGGGCAGAACUAGCAAGUGAGACUCAGAAUAGCAGUCGUUCCAGUCUGAGAAACUUCUUUGUCCUUGAGGACCUGAGGGUCUCUUCCCCCAACCAAAGAUACCGGGGUGAACACUAGUGGCAAAAAGGACACAGCUGCAAGUGGCCUGGUCCAGGGAAGUUUCUUUGGUUAUGUGGGCCUGAGCUGCUUCUCCCCUAGCCAGUGAUACAGGGGCAGGUGGGUGGAACUGGCAAGAGGGACCCACCUAUGGGAAGCAGCAUGUUCUGUCAUUUUUGUCUCUGUGGGUUCAAGACUUGCCUUUCCCACUCAGAGAUGCUGGGA